rnacentral:rRNA from 1 species
CAUGGCUCAGAUUGAACGCUGGCGGCAGGCUUAACACAUGCAAGUCGAACGGUAGCAGGUAAGUACUUGUACUUAUGCUGACGAGUGGCGGACGGGUGAGUAAUGCUUGGGGAUCUGGCUUAUGGAGGGGGAUAACGACGGGAAACUGUCGCUAAUACCGCGUAGAAUCGAGAGAUGAAAGUGUGGGACCUUCGGGCCACAUGCCAUAGGAUGAACCCAAGUGGGAUUAGGUAGUUGGUAGGGUAAUGGCCUACCAAGCCGACGAUCCCUAGCUGGUCUGAGAGGAUGACCAGCCACACCGGGACUGAGACACGGCCCGGACUCCUACGG